AACAGAAUCAAAGGGUGGAGAAAGCAAGCCAGGAGACAACUGGCUCCAGUGACUGACAGCAUCAUUCCACCCUUGCCUGCUUUCCUGUGCUGUUGAUAACCAGUGUGGCUAUGUUGUCAUUCCCCUGUCAAUAUCAAGUGAGUUUUUAUAAGUUUGAAAACCUGGCAUUUUAAAUUUUAAAUGAAGAUAGAAGAGUAUGUCAAGAGGCGUGGGUGCGCGUGCCUGGUCCCAAGCUGGACUCCUUGGGAGAGUCCUGCCAACCCUGCCAGCCAGUGCCAGAUACGUGGAUGUGUGCUGGGCUGAACCACACAGAGACCCUUGGGCUCUCCAAGUGGCCUCUUUCAUAGCCUUUACAAGUGAUAACUCACAAGGACCCUCUCCAUGACUUCCCCCUUUUCUUCAGAGGAGGAAACCAAGGCACAGCCAGGAGAAAUGACUUGCCCAGCUCAACAACCAGUGAGGAGAGGUAUCAGGAUUCAAACCAGGCAGUGUGGCUCCAGAGUCCAUGGCCUUUAUCACUGCCCCCUACCCUUUGGCAAGCUCCACUUUUGAUAGCGCUGAUGUGAUAGCAGACAACGUGUAAUUGCCAAACUUUAGUCAUCAGCACGCUAGCUUUGAAUGGAAACACAAGGUAUGACCCAAUCUCUUCUUCUUAAGCAUUUGGCUGAGAUGAUUUGUCCCUGCUCUGCCCC
rnacentral:lncRNA from 1 species